rnacentral:rRNA from 1 species
GACGAACGCUGGCGGCGUGCUUAACACAUGCAAGUCGAACGGUGAAGCGCCUUCCUUUUUGGUGGGUGUGGAUGAGUGGCGAACGGGUGAGUAACACGUGAGUAACCUGCCCCCUUCUUCUGGAUAACCGCAUGAAAGUGUGGCUAAUACGGGAUAUUCUGGGUCUGUCGCAUGAUGGGUCUGGGAAAGAUAUUGUUUCGGUGGGGGAUGGGCUCGCGGCCUAUCAGCUUGUUGGUGGGGUGAUGGCCUACCAAGGCGGUGACGGGUAGCCGGCCUGGGAGGGUGGACGGUCACACUGGGACUGAGACACGGCCCAGACUCCUACGGGAGGCAGAAGUGGGGAAUAUUGCACAAUGGGCGCAAGCCUGAUGCAGCGACGCCGCGUGAGGGAUGGAGGCCUGCGGGUUGUGAACCUCUUUCGCCAGUGAAGCAGGCCUGCCUCGUUUGUGGGUGGGUUGACGGUAGCUGGAUAAGAAGCGCCGGCUAACUACGUG